AGCCAGAGCUGCUACGCGCAGGGCAACCGGUCUCUCCUUGGGGGACCGGUCUCUCGGGGACCGGUCUCUCGGGUAGGGACCGGUUCCCGAGAGCUAGUUUCUCAGGACUUAGCCGAUUUUUCGGCUGUCUCAUUUCAUACGCGUUCGGGGACCGGUCUCUCCCACCAGGGACCGGUCCCCGAGAGCUCAAAACUGCAGAAUGCAGAAUUUGAUUCUAUAGCUCUCGAAAACCUCCCGUAACUCACUUUUAAUCAUUUUGACACCUUCGGACUUUCCGAAGUGUAACAUCCUCG
rnacentral:lncRNA from 1 species